UACCUAGUAGUUCGUUUUUGUUCUUGUUUUUCAGUUAGCAAUCUGUAAAAUUUAUUGCAAAAUUAAGCUCUCUGCUCCAGAGUCAAUAAUAUUCCUGGUGCCAGGUGGUGUAAUAAUUCACAGAAAGGGCAGAAGUUGGAGGGAAUGAGACUGAUUUAGGAAGUAGACUUCCAAGGCCUAUUUGCUGCUGCUUAUUCCCUGCUGCUAAAGGUCAGUUAUUGGAGAAAGCUGCACACGUCAAAGAACUGAGGCCAGCCGUUGGCCAAUAGCCAGCAAGAAAAUGAUGCCUUCACAUAGCCCACAGGCAACUGAAAUCCAACAACAGGGGCAAGAACAUUUUCAUGUCCUACUUAAGAAGU